rnacentral:lncRNA from 1 species
AUAAGCAAGCCUUUCUAUGUCUGAGUAGCCACAUGCAAGUCCACAUGAAUUGCUACAGCCCAGCUCAUUUUGCACUAAGCCCUUGUCCAGGCAAAUCCUUGUAAGACAUGCACUGAACUUAAGAAUCUGCCUUAUAAAUAUGAGCAUGAUCCUGAUUAACAGUGGCUCUUUUCUGGUUCCCAGCCUUUCCCAUUGCCUUCCUCUUAACUGGAGAUGCUGGGGAUUGGACUUGGGAAGUUUUGGGUGCAAAACAUGUGCUUUCUCACUGAGUUACGACCCCUCCUCAUUUGAUUAAAAUGGCCAGGAUCCAAUGAACCAUGCAACUAGUUACAUGGUUGAACAGCAACUCCAACCCACCCCUUGUUCCACAGUUACCCAAGGGAGAGCUUCCAAGGUAUUUUAUGACAGUAGAGCUUGCUGUGUGCAUGGGGCAAAAGCCAAUAUCCAACAGGCAUGCCCAAAGUAGUUAAUUUGGAUCCUGGCCAGUAUAGCUGCAAUAAAAUUCAAAUUUUUGCAGCUGCAGUGCUGAGCUGGCCACAGGAAUCCUUGUGUGGCAGGAAGAUCUUCACCUGAUUUCCUAUUCCCAGAUAAAAGAACGCUGGCUUUCCUAACAGCGUUUAGUAUGAAUUUUGGAGCCUGAUUUGGAACCUGAUCCAGCAAGGGCAAAUUCACCCAGAAGCAGUUUUUGUAUAUGUGACUUGAUAACACCCCACUGCAUACAGUAUACAAGACCAAACUCCUGAACUAAACUUGGACCCACUUUGGGGCUUAGUGGGGAGGUGAAGGGUGAAGAUACAGGAAUACUCUAUCUUGUGCAUGGCUAAAUCAGCAGUUGAGUCAAGGUGGCAUGGUAAUGCUGGCACGAGGGGAGAUGGGAAGGGGAUGAGCUACUUCUGUGGGAACUAAUCAGCAUGCACAUUGGGUCCCAUGGAGGGCAGGGCCUGCAGGCAGACUAGAAAAGAAGACUGGCUUUGCAGUAUCCAUAAGCAAGUUAUUUAAGCAACCCCACCCCUUCCUCUAUACAGUUCAUAUGCCACUUGUUCGUAGUAUGUUACAUCAUGGAACAAUGAAUCCACAGAAAAAUAUUGCAUCAAUUCAUUCUGCUUUCUCAAAUGCAAAAGAGAGAGAAAAUUAUCCCCUACUCUUAAAACAUUUAUUAGUUUCAACCUUUUCCUUAUUUUCACUCCUGUGGAUAAAUGCACAAAAAUGUGCAAUAGCAAAUCAUGGGGUUGUAAGAAAAUAUGCCAAAGUAGAGACUCGGUGUUAUCCAACAGUUAACUUGUACGUCUAAAACAUCUGCUGGAUUUUUUUUUUAAAUGUCAUUUCUGAUAAGGGGGGAAGAGGAGGAAUAACUGGAAGAGUUCUAGGUGUAUGCAAGAAAAAGAAUAAUUUAUUUAACCCAUUUUCAUUAUCAAAACAUGCAUUUGCUUUGUUAAUUCGUUUUCAACUGACUUAGUACUAGUUCAUUCUUUCUCUUUAUUCCCAUUUAGUUUUGUUUGCUGUUGAUUUAAAUGGGAGACUCAGCCAGUAUCACCCUGCUUGUAAUUUUGGUGUUUUUCAUUCACGUGGAAAACUCUAUCAAAAUCUGCAAAUGGUGGAUUUUGAAAAGCCCUGAAAAUCAGUGCUUUUAGGCAGUGCUGUUUUGCAUGGAGGUAGGCAGAGCAGGAUUCAAGGCCCAUGAUAUUGCAUUUCCACUUUGGUGAAAGCGGCCCGGGGAUAUUAACAGUCUCACUACGCUUAAUAAAGAAUGCUCCAAUCCUCCAGGCCCAAAUUUAGUCAAUAGUAAAUCCGGAUUUUUAAAAGCAUUCCUUUUUAAUGGUUGGAAAAGGACACUCCUGGUAAUGUUUUCAAUUUAUUUCUAAUCUGCAAGAACACAGUCUGGAAAGUCCUUAGCACCCUCAAUUUCCAUUGAUUUAAGUGGCAAUCAGCACCCUACUGGAAGGACCUGCAGAGAACAGUACAGACAGCUGGAGCAGAGAGCUGUAAUCACAAGGCUGAUGAAAGCAAUAGGUGCUUCCUGAGAAACAUGCUUUAUGUUACUGAGUUUGGCCUCGCUCUCUGAGCUUAGCCUUGAGAUGCAAAAGGGAUAUAUUGGUUGUUGCAGAGCUCGAGCAAGUUACAGGGUCUGGCAUUUGGGGGGUAAGGGUUAAGCUAGCUGUGUGCAUGUUGGUGUGGGAUUUUCAAAUUGAGUUUUAGUCUGAUAGGAGUUUGUUCUGUUUUCUUCUGUAUUAAAGUGAAUCUGUGCCAAGGUCUUCAAGAGGAGGGUGAGAUAUCUCUGUUUAUUUCACUCAAAAAUGUACCCACAAUGGGGAAGGAUAGCAAGUAGAAAAUAGUAUUUUUUUAAAAAAUCAUUGAAAAAGUGAUGGAGAGAGGCAAGGAUAAAUGUUGACUAAAGGCAUCUUUCUGUCUAUUGAUUGACAGAUGUUAUUACUAAGGCGUUUUAAAAGUCCAUUGUGAAUGCAACAUACAUGCAUUUGCAAAUAUGUGUAUCAUACAGAUGUGCAAGUUGGGGAACUGAGGCAGGCUGCGGCACCCUGAGUAUACAUUUAAUAGCAACUUGGCUCUGUGUAGUGCAUGAAAGGAUAACUGAUGCCUUCUUCCACUUUGCUGCAGAGUCCCAAUUUUUCAUACUGUCCACUUCCAGAGAUGAGUAACAGAAAAGAGCAACUAACUUUUUCUUGCCAUUUUUUCAACUUUUUUUUUUUGCUCAACAGAACGUAUACUCUGAGACACACACACACACACACACACACACACACACACACACAAACACACUAUACCUGGUAUGGAGUGAGUGUUCACAGAAGUCCAAGCCUUCUGGUUGGUUGCCCAUUCUGAAAUACCACUGAUGAAAUACCACUAAAUAACUUCAAGGUGUCUAGUGGUUGUCAACCCUUUCAGGUUAGGCACAUUUGGAUUUUUGAACAAGGGGUGUUGGGACCCUUCUCUCUGCUCACUUCUCUUGCCACUCCACUCUUUCCAAGAAAAAACAGGUGCACAUGCAUCACUUUUGCAGGGGAUCUGGGUAAAAGUUGAACCCGGUAGAAUUGAUCAAAGCCUUGAAAAGCCCAUAGAGCUGAAAGUGGAAGUGGGAAAGAAUGACCCUCUUCCAACUUCCUAUUUCAACUCUACGCACAUUCAGCAGGUGGGUACGUAACCAACUUUGCCACCUCAUGACCAAGGGGUUGGUGACUGGGGCAGGGGAUCAGACUUUUAAUCAUUGCCAGGGCAAGGUCUGAAGGUGUUCAUGGUUGCCUCAUUGGCAACUCUGUGCUACUGACUUUUUCAUACAAAACUGGAUCAAACCUGUUACAGCAGUGAGAGGUUGUGAAAGUUGAGAAGGAAGUUGCUCAUCAUUUAUUUCUUAGAAAAGGGAGCCAAACUCAAGCUUAUCUCUCCCCCCACCUGCCCAAUCCUUUGCAUUCUUUCUGAAUCGGGUUAUCAUUUCUUUUCAUUCCAUUCCAUGCAUGACAGAAAUACUGUACUGCUUAGGUGGCAGCUGCUUCAUCAGUAAUUAUAUGAUUCUGUACUUUUCAAGGAUUGCCGAAAGCAUGAAAAAAGAAUACCUCAAUUCAUUUUCUUAAUAUAAGGGCCUGCCCUAGAGAUAUUUUAAUUAAAUGACCUAGAUAUAUUAAUAAUACAAAUUAAAAGUAAGUGGGCAAGAUCUAGUUUUGUUUUCAAAUUCCAGUUGGGAAGUUUUGUUCAGAUCCAAUGAAAGCAAAAGCCACUUUCCCUUCCUUCUGGCAUAUAAGGCAAUGUGUCUCGGGGGGGGGGGGGUCCCCCUUGCCUUUUUUUGGCAACCUGAGUUUGGGAUUUCAAGUUCUAAUAUUUGGAAUGAGUCAUUCUUAAAUUUACCUGCUAUUUUGGAUGAUCCCUUGUGGCUGUACUCAUUUGGCCAAAUCAGUGCCAGAUUUAUGCACAGGCUAAGUGGGCUGCGGCGUAAGGCCUCAGAUUAUGAGAGGCCUAUAAAUAACCCCCCCCC